rnacentral:rRNA from 1 species
GCGGCGGACGGGUGAGUAAUGCCUAGGAAUCUGCCUGGUAGUGGGGAUUAACGUUCGGAAACGGACGCUAAUACCGCAUACGUCCUACGGGAGAAAGCAGGGGACCUUCGGGCCUUGCGCUAUCAGAUGAGCCUAGGUCGGAUUAGCUAGUUGGUGAGGUAAUGGCUCACCAAGGCGACGAUCCGUAACUGGUCUGAGAGGAUGAUCAGUCACACUGGAACUGAGACACGGUCCAGACUCCUACGGGAGGCAGCAGUGGGGAAUAUUGGACAAUGGGCGAAAGCCUGAUCCAGCCAUGCCGCGUGUGUGAAGAAGGUCUUCGGAUUGUAAAGCACUUUAAGUUGGGAGGAAGGGCUGUUACCUAAUACGUGAUGGUUUAGACGUUACCGACAGAAUAAGCACCGGCUAACUCUGUGCCAGCAGCCGCGGUAAUACAGAGGGUGCAAGCGUUAAUCGGAAUUACUGGGCGUAAAGCGCGCGUAGGUGGUUUGUUAAGUUGGAUGUGAAAUCCCCGGGCUCAACCUGGGAACUGCAUUCAAAACUGACUGACUAGAGUAUGGUAGAGGGUGGUGGAAUUUCCUGUGUAGCGGUGAAAUGCGUAGAUAUAGGAAGGAACACCAGUGGCGAAGGCGACCACCUGGACUGAUACUGACACUGAGGUGCGAAAGCGUGGGGAGCAAACAGGAUUAGAUACCACUGGUAGUCCACGCCGUAAACGAUGUCAACUAGCCGUUGGGAGCCUGAGCUCUUUAGUGGCGC